rnacentral:rRNA from 1 species
UACGUAGGGUGCGAGCGUUAAUCGGAAUUACUGGGCGUAAAGCGUGCGCAGGCGGUUUUGUAAGUUUGUCGUGAAAGCCCCGGGCUCAACCUGGGAAUUGCGAUGAAGACUGCAAGGCUUGAAUCUGGCAGAGGGGGGUAGAAUUCCACGUGUAGCAGUGAAAUGCGUAGAGAUGUGGAGGAACACCGAUGGCGAAGGCAGCCCCCUGGGUCAAGAUUGACGCUCGAUGCACGAAAGCGUGGGGAGCAAACAGGA